rnacentral:rRNA from 1 species
UGGGGAAUAUUGGGCAAUGGAGGAAACUCUGACCCAGCCAUGCCGCGUGAGUGAUGAAGGCCUUAGGGUUGUAAAGCUCUUUCGUUGGUGACGAUAAUGACGGUAACCAAAGAAGAAGCCCCGGCUAACUUCGUGCCAGCAGCCGCGGUAAUACGAAGGGGGCUAGCGUUGUUCGGAAUAACUGGGCGUAAAGAGCUCGUAGGCUGUGUCGCAAGUCAGGGGUGAAAUCCCGAGGCUUAACCUCGGAACUGCCUUUGAAACUGCGGCACUGGAAUCUCAGAGGGGAUAGCGGAAUUCCAAAUGUAGGGGUGAAAUCCGUAGAUAUUUGGAGGAACACCGGUGGCGAAGGCGGCUAUCUGGAUGAGUAUUGACGCUGAGGAGCGAAAGCGUGGGGAUCAAA